GACGAACGCUGGCGGCGUGCUUAACACAUGCAAGUCGAGCGGGAAACUUCGGUUUCCAGCGGCGGACGGGUGAGUAACACGUGGGCAACCUGCCUCACAAUGAGGGAUAGCCUUCCGAAAGGAAGAUUAAUACCUCAUAACACAAGAGAAACGCAUGUUUCUUUUGCCAAAGAAUUUCGUUGUGAGAUGGGCCCGCGGCGCAUUAGCUAGUUGGUGAGGUAACGGCUCACCAAGGCUUCGAUGCGUAGCCGACCUGAGAGGGUGAUUGGCCACAUUGGGACUGAGACACGGCCCAGACUCCUACGGGAGGCAGCAGUGGGGAAUAUUGCACAAUGGGCGCAAGCCUGAUGCAGCGACGCCGCGUGGGGGAUGACGGCCUUCGGGUUGUAAACUCCUUUCGCUAGGGACGAAGCCUUUUUGGUGACGGUACCUGGAGAAGAAGCACCGGCUAACUACGUGCCAGCCGCCGCCGUAA
rnacentral:rRNA from 1 species